AUGUUGGAAAAAGUGUGUUAAUUUCCCUUUACUCCCCUGAGCAAGAUGGCAGCGUAUUGUUAUCUCUUGCUAAAGCCUAUGUUUAGACUGGCGGGAAGAAGAGAAAAGCUAAUUUCCCUGCUAAGUGUAAAGCUCUAUUUACUUAGUGCUAUAUUGAAUUGGCCAAGGUAAACGAACCUGAAUCUGCUCUGCUGGAACAUGGAUAAUGUGGGGCGGCCUGUCGCCAUGGUGAUGCACCGCGUUGCUCUCCUGUUCAUAAAUGGCAUCACGUUCUGGCUGAGGAAGACUGAGGAACCUUCGGAUCAUGGAGAGGUUCUCCCACAGAGUCCUGUUUUCUGGAGAGGGAUCUUCUUUCCAGCGUAACAGCUCACACAACCACCCCUUGGAGACAAGGGCAUAAUAGUGCCGUUAAAAAACAGAAAAGUCAGUACUCCCAAGGUCCAUCAAUGUCAGCCUUUCUUCUAUCGUGAAGAAUCCACGACUCCUUUCCACCUGUCGUCCACCACUGACUUGUCAGCCUGGGAGUCGUCUCCCUUGAAGUAUGCUCUUAGGGGAAACAGUGCACCGAUGAUGACUAGAGCUAUCAUACGAAGUUGUGACACCUAAAGGAGCAAAUAAAUGGGAUGUCUAGCUUAGCCUAUGGAACUUCCUGCCAGAUAAAUACACAGGUUUAACUAAGCUUUCUUGAAUCCCCUUAGCCAUCUCUGAGAUGCUCUUAGAAAAGAGAUGCUGGGAUGAAAAUCAUUGCUCUGGUCUUUCAAACUGCCCAAAGUUAUC